rnacentral:rRNA from 1 species
GAUGAACGCUGGCGGCGUGCCUAAUACAUGCGAGUCGAGCGAACAGACGAGGAGCUUGCUCCUCCGACGUUAGCGGCGGACGGGUGAGUAACACGUGGAUAACCUACCUAUAAGACUGGGAUAACUUCGGGAAACCGGAGCUAAUACCGGAUAAUAUAUUGAACCGCAUGGUUCAAUAGUGAAAGACGGUUUUGCUGUCACUUAUAGAUGGAUCCGCGCCGCAUUAGCUAGUUGGUAAGGUAACGGCUUACCAAGGCAACGAUGCGUAGCCGACCUGAGAGGGUGAUCGGCCACACUGGAACUGAGACACGGUCCAGACUCCUACGGGAGGCAGCAGUAGGGAAUCUUCCGCAAUGGGCGAAAGCCUGACGGAGCAACGCCGCGUGAGUGAUGAAGGUCUUCGGAUCGUAAAACUCUGUUAUUAGGGAAGAACAAAUGUGUAAGUAUCUAUGCACGUCUUGACGGUACCUAAUCAGAAAGCCACGGCUAACUACGUG